GUAGGUGGCAAGCGUUGUCCGGAAUUAUUGGGCGUAAAGCGCGCGCAGGUGGUUCUUUAAGUCUGAUGUGAAAGCCCCCGGCUCAACCAGGGAGGGUCAUUGGAAACUGGGGAACUUGAGUGCAGGAGAGGAAAGUGGAAUUCCACGUGUAGCGGUGAAAUGCGUAGAUAUGUGGAGGAACACCAGUGGCGAAGGCGACUUUCUGGCCUGUAACUGACACUGAGGCGCGAAAGCGUGGGGAGCAAACAGGGAUUAGAUACCCUGGUAGUCCACGCCGUAAACGAUGAGUGCUAAGUGUUGGGGGGGUUUCCCGCCCCUCAGUGCUGCAGCUAACGCAUUAAGCACUCCGCCUGGGGAUACGGUCGCAAGACUG
rnacentral:rRNA from 1 species